AGAGUUUGAUCCUGGCUCAGAGCGAACGUUGGCGGCGCGCCUAACACAUGCAAGUCGAACGCGAAAGGUUCUUCGGAACUAAGUAGCGUGGCGCACGGGUGAGUAACACGUAAAUAAUCUACCUCCGAGAUCGGGAUAACGUCCCCAAAAGGACGCUAAUACCGGAUAAGACCACGGCCUCUUCGGAGGCUGCGAGAAAAGAUGGGGACCCGAGAGGGCCUGUCACUUGGAGAUGAGUUUGCGGCCCAUCAUGCUAGUUGGCGAGGUAAUGGCUCACCAAGGCUAAGACGGGUAGCUGGUCUGAGAGGAUGACCAGCCACACUGGAACUGAGACACGGUCCAGACUCCUACGGGAGGCAGCAGUGGGGAAUCUUGCGCAAUGGGCGAAAGCCUGACGCAGCGACGCCGCGUGUGCGAUGAAGGCCUUUGGGUCGUAAAGCACUGUCGAGCGGAACGAACAUUUGCGGCCGAUAAAGCCGUAAGUUUGACGGAACCGCUAAAGGAAGCACCGGCCAACUCUGUGCCAGCAGCCGCGGUAAUACAGAGGGUGCGAACGUUGCUCGGAAUUAUUGGGCGUAAAGCGCGUGUAGGCGGCCAACUAAGUCGACUGUGGAAGCCCUUGGCUCAACCAAGGAAGUGCAGCCGAAACUGGAUGGCUAGAGUCCUGAAGAGGGUGGCGGAAUGCCCAGUGUAGAGGUGAAAUUCGCAGAGAUUGGGUAGAACACCGGUGGCGAAGGCGGCCACCUGGGAAGGUACUGACGCUGAGACGCGAAAGCGUGGGGAGCAAACAGGAUUAGAUACCCUGGUAGUCCACGCCGUAAACGAUGAACACUAGAUGUUGCGGGUAUUGACCCCUGCAGUGUCGACGCUAACGCAUUAAGUGUUCCGCCUGGGGAGUACGGCCGCAAGGUUAAAACUCAAAUGAAUUGACGG
rnacentral:rRNA from 1 species